CAUGAGAACUUGUACUAUUACGUAAGUAUAUAUUUGUGCGAACAAAUGUAUAUCUUAUGCUAUUAAAAGUAACCGUCCGCAUAUUAUGCGGUUAACCGCAUGCAAGACCAAUUCUUUUUCUAAGAGUAUUGGAGGUGCAUGGCAUGACAAAAUUAAUUUUCUAACUAAUACUCCCUCCGUUCCGCUUCAAAUGACCUUAAAAUUUUCGACACAAAGAUUAAAAAAUGUUUAAUAAAGGUGUAAAGUGGUGGUACCCAUCUUAUUAAUGAUUUUUGUAAACCUAAUUAACAAAAGCAAGUAAAACAAACAGGUGAGAGAAACUCAGGCAUGAUUCAUCUUAUAAAUACAAGAGAGGGAAAGAAACUCAGGCAUGAUUCAUCUUAUAAAUACAAGAGAGGGAAACAUGUGAUUAGGUGCCAACUUAAAUUUCACUCGAAAAUUUUGGUGCAAAAAAUUUGGCACCAAAAAAUACUUUCUGUUUUACAUUACAUAUUUCCUCUAAAAAUUCAAAAUGCAUUAAGUCUCUUUUAUAAAUUCAAGGUAUCUGCCAUAUUCAUUUACAAUCUCAAAAACACAAAAAAAAAAAUAUCUUCCAAAAAAAUAUGACUACACUAGAAAGGCAGAUUGUAUUGCUUUUUCUCUUAUAGGGCAAUAAAAAUGGCAAAACGACAAAAGGGGAAGAUCAAGGCAGCUUGCGUGAAGUUCUCCAAAAACCGACGCACCAUCAAUCGUUUUUAGAUUGAAGCAAAAGGCUGAAAAAAUCAAGUAUGCAGGCAAAUGUUUAGUGAAGAUGGGUCAGUGAAGUUUGAUGGAAAAAUAGGGACCUUCACACAUGCAGUUCCAGCACAAAGAGCAAGCAAGAAAGGCCAGCGGGCACAAUGGAGACCAAGCCAAUACAAUCUGUCACUAAGGAAAUAGUGAGAUAAUGCUUGGUGAAUCAUGUAUGACAAGAAGUAGAUAAAUGCAUGGAAUGUGGAGCUAAAUUAAUUAGAGUGCAAUUAAUGAAUGUUGUAUCAGAUGUAAUGUUCUUUUUAUGCAAUGAAAGUUCAGUUUUUCUUUUCAA